rnacentral:tRNA from 2 species
GCGGGCGUAGCUCAAUGGUAGAGCGAGAGCUUCCCAAGCUCCAGACGAGGGUUCGAUUCCCUUCGCCCGCUCCA